CAUUCAUACACAACACUGUUGCACUGUCAAGGUGGCUUUCUUUAUGCAAUUUUCACAAGGUCAUUUUAGGAGCAGUCUGUGAAGAUGGGUGUAAAUAACUGGAUUAUAGUUGUGGCCUCAUUCCUGGCGUUCUUUGAUUCUGGUUAUUGCAUAGUGGGCAAAGUGAGCCAGUGCAAGAAGAACAUUAUUACUAUUUCAGACGAAGGAUUUGCAGGGAUACUUAAGUCACGCUGUUCUACUGAUGAUGUCCCACCUCGAAAAAAGGAAUGCAUUUUUGUUUUUGAUGCAAAAGGCAAUGGUACAGGCAAUCAAAUAAUGAA